UAAUCCUCCUAGGCCCGAAACCA
rnacentral:siRNA from 1 species